CUACGGGGCGCAGCAGUGGGGAAUAUUGCACAAUGGACGAAAGUCUGAUGCAGCAACGCCGCGUGGAGGAUGACACAUUUCGGUGCGUAAACUCCUUUUAUAUAAGAAGAUAAUGACGGUAUUAUAUGAAUAAGCACCGGCUAACUCCGUGCCAGCAGCCGCGGUAAUACGGAGGGUGCAAGCGUUACUCGGAAUCACUGGGCGUAAAGAGCGUGUAGGCGGAUAGAUAAGUUGGAAGUGAAAUCCUAUGGCUCAACCAUAGAACUGCUUCCAAAACUGUCUAUCUAGAAUAUGGGAGAGGUAGAUGGAAUUUCUGGUGUAGGGGUAAAAUCCGUAGAGAUCAGAAGGAAUACCGAUUGCGAAGGCGAUCUACUGGAACAUUAUUGACGCUGAGACGCGAAAGCGUGGGGAGCAAACAGGAUUAGAUACCCGGGUAGUC
rnacentral:rRNA from 1 species